CGGCCCACAGUUAAUCAUAUUAUGAUAAAUCAUGAUAUUGUAUCGCCAACGAUCCUGCGAACAACUGUGUUGUAUAUUCCUAUAUGCUAGUACUAGAGACCUCAAGUUUUUACUCAUUACUCCUCGUACCCACUCAGUGAGAGUGGGCUUGUAGUUUCAACUCUCAUCAAGAAUGUAGAUGGCAGUGUAGUAUAUUGACUAGCCGGAGCCAGCCUCCUCCUCAGUCAUUAAUGUUUGUCUAUGUUGUUUC
rnacentral:sRNA from 1 species